rnacentral:rRNA from 1 species
UAGUCCAGGGCUACACACGUGCUACAAUGGCCGGUAACGAAAGGGUCGACAAUACCGCGAGGUGGAGCUAAUCCCAAAAAGCCGGUCUCAGUUCGGAUUGGAGUCUGCAACUCGACUCCAUGAAGUCGGAAUCGCUAGUAAUCGCGUAUCAGCGCGACGCGGUGAAUACGUUCCCGGGCCUU